rnacentral:tRNA from 1 species
ACCUGGCUGGCUUGGUCAGUGGAGCAUGAGAUUCUUGAUCUAGGGACUGUAGGUUCAAGCCCACGUCAGGUA